rnacentral:rRNA from 1 species
ACCAGGCCUUGACAUGCAGAGAACUUUCCAGAGAUGGAGUUGGUGCCUUCGGGAACUCUGACACAGGUGCUGCAUGGCUGUCGUCAGCUCGUGUCGUGAGGAUGUUGGGUUAAGUCCCGUAACGAGCGCAACCCUUGUCCUUAGUUACCAGCACGUUAUGGUGGGCACUCUAAGGAGACUGCCGGUGACAAACCGGAGGAAGGUGGGGAUGACGUCAAGUCAUCAUGGCCCUUACGGCCUGGGCUACACACGUGCUACAAUGGUCGGUACAAAGGGUUGCCAAGCCGCGAGGUGGAGCUAAUCCCAUAAAACCGAUCGUAGUCCGGAUCGCAGUCUGCAACUCGACUGCGUGAAGUCGGAAUCGCUAGUAAUCGUGAAUCAGAAUGUCACGGUGAAUACGUUCCCGGGCCUU